CAAUGGUAGAUCGCCUCCUCGUGGUGCAUCCUGGGUAACGCUAAUUGAUCUACCUUUUUUAAAGCCCCUCUUAUUCUAACUUCUUGCUCUAGAUACGUACUUGGGGCGAGAAUUGAGGUUGGCAUGACCGGAUUUGUUUUUUGGAAAACUCUCGACUUUCGACUUUUAUACUUGUAACCUUGGGCUGACUGGUAUGGUAUUCUGUUACCUUAGUAUGCAAGGGUGGAACCUUAGCAGAAAUGGCUUUCAGGCUAAUGCUAUAUCGGCCAAAGUUCCGUUAAAACCGUGGCGGGCCUCAAUGUACGUUCUUAUUUUCGUCACCAUUAAGUUGGCGGUUUUAGUAAUCAGUUGAGAAAACUCCUGAUUUACACUGGAUCUGGCUCUGAACACUUGACCUCAUGAAGGCUGGUGUCAACCCUCGCAUGGCCUCCCUGUUCUUACAUAGAUAACCAUGGGAUCCGAAAGUGGCUAAGCAACCGAAUUUCAGAUAGCGGCAUUGAGUGGGAACUAUGCACUAAAAUGAAUAAUAAAAAUUUAAAAAAUACAAAAUAUUCUACUUUUACACAGGAGAGGGCACUAAACAACAAAUGUUUUGAGUGCUCUACAUCCUCAAACAAACGAACAGCUUCAAUCUACACUCUUCCUGCGUCAAGGACUGUUAGUACUAAGGUAAACAAGCCGAGUACUAACUUCACUAACAGUACGUCCGAAUUUGACACACUGCCCGAUAAAUCUAGUAUAGUACCAAAGGUUGGUUCGAUAGACUCGACAUCUUAUGAUAUAUCAUCCUCUUCAGGUGGCCGAGAUCAUAUAAAUAAAUCGACAAGGGCGUACAGAAUACGAAGAUCUGCUUUCAGAAUUCUUACUAAGUAUAAAGACAUUCCUGCAGACUUACUUACCGAAAAAGACAAGGCCUCUAUCAAAUGGGCUGAGCAAAAUACUGACUUCCGCUUUCCGAAUUCAUCUUUAUAUGACCCCAACAAAAGACCUCAACAAUCAGAAGAGUCUUUAAACAAUGACGAUGACACCAAACGAUUAAAGUUGACUGCAACGACACCUUCAAUCAGACACAGCAGCAACAUUGAACAUUUUUUAACUUGGGCGAUCGUGGACUUUAGUAACCCCGAUGGUGCUAUAUCUCCUAAUAACUGGAGCAAUGUAGAAAUAGCUUUAAUGAAAUAUUACAAAAAAGUUUUAGAGGAAAAUCCCGGUCCUCCACCUUCAUGUAGAGAUGCUGGUUGGUAUCAAAACCAAAUUAAAUUAAUUGCUUGCUCUGACCAGCGUUCAACUGACCUUUAUAAACUGGCUAUUGCUAAGCUAGGUGAAAUCUGGCCUGGGGCUGACCUCAAAAUGGUGACUAAGGAAGAAAUUCCAAAUCGUCCAAAAUUGAAAGGUUCCUUCCCAGCUGAGCCCUCAAAAGCAAAAGACAUGUUAGAACUUAUAAAAACUUGCAAUCCAAACUUUCCAACAAAAGAUUGGCAAGUGUUAGAGGUCAGUGAAGUCAAUAAUCACCUACGAGAAGUUGUUAUCCUUGUUAAUGCAGAUGCACUUGCUCAAUUAGCUUCAAUUGAUUAUACAUUGAAUUAUGGUUUUGGUUCCGUUUACUUAAGUGUUUAUGAAGACGAUCAAGCUAUUCCUGAAGCUCUGGUGGAAUCAGUUACACAACAGUCAGCCACUAUAAACGUUAAGUUGGAGGCGUCCGAUGAUCAAAUAUUGGUUCCACAAAGUGCAGAACCCGAUUAUGAAGUUAAUGAUAACACCCAAACCACUACUUUAAGCACAAAGGCAGUGGAUGAGAGUCGAAAUAUUUUAAUCCUCAACGAAGGUGAUUUGGAAGGUGAUUUCCUAUCAGGCCAGGAGGACUCUAAAUUGAAUAUAUUUAAUGAACAACUAAAUGGUGAAGCUAAUUUAGAUUAGUCUUCAUUAUAAACUACACUAAUCCUUCGCCUGUCCCAACCCAAUAAUGAUAUGUGUCCAAUAAAUUUAUAAGGUUUUAUGAACACUCAGUCACAAAGUCUAAGCAUAUAAGUAAACACACAUUCCAAGUCUACCUGAACUGUGUUAAACUAUUUAAGCUACGACGAACACUCUUUACAAUCCAAUGACGUCAUACAUAGCGAUGCAAAACCUCAUCAUUAGGUCUAGGGCAGCUCGAACAUAUUAGUGUCGUGCAUUGUCACGAGGUCUUAACCCUUUCAUACCGGACGAUCAUCCAGAAACAUCUAAAACCAUCUUCAUAGUUUAACUACUUGUAAAAUGUUUUCUGACAUCUGCCUUUUGUAUACUUAGUAGUGAUCUGCUAAUUCAUGGCGUAUGUUAAGCAUAGCGCUAUACUUUCUUAAUUCGAAUAGAAGU